rnacentral:lncRNA from 1 species
GUUGUGUGUGUGUGUGUGUGUGUGUGUGUGUGUGUGUGUGUGUGUGUGUGUGUGUGUGUGUGUGUGUGUGUGUGUGUGUGUGUGUGUGUGUGUGUGUGUGUGUGUGUGUGUGUUGAACUUAAGAAAUGAGAAGUUACAGGUUCAGGACUCAUCUUUGUGCUUCCAAAUAAAGAAAAGAAACGCAUGGAUUUGCAGUCUUUUACACCCACUGGGAAGACGGAGGGGCUCACCAGAAAGUUACAAGAAUCUCCCAAGCUGCCUGCAAGUUAUACGAGAACUCCCGUGAUCCAGGCUUUGAGAGGUUUCAGCUGCCCACACUGCUUUCACAAGCCUUCAGUGAGGGAAGUCAAGGCAGGAACUUGGAAAGACGAACAGAAGUAGAGGAACGCCACUUACUGGCACUGUAACCAAGAAAACGUACCACAGACUUGAUGGCGGCAAUUCCUCAGUGGAGGUUUCCUCUCCCCAGAUGACUCUAACUUGUGUCAGGGUGAUAAUAAAGCAACCAGCACAAAACUCUCCCAGCUUGGAAAGGCCUCUCUUCUCUCUCUGUCUUCACCUGGUGUUGUGUCCCUCUGAAUGUGUGUAAAUUUCUUCUUGUUUAAAAACACUUUGUGGUGGGGCGUAUGUGUAUACCACAGCACACAUGUGGACGCUAGAAGACAAUCUGUAGAUGUCAGUUCUCCCCUUCCCAGGAACCAAUCGUAGGUCAUCGGCCCUGGCAGUGAGUGCUUUACCUACUCAACAAUCUUGCCCACUCAGUUUCAUCUUACAGGUGCAUCAGGAGCUGGGCGGUGGUGGCACAAAGCUUUAAUCCCAGCACUUGGGAGGCAGAGGCAGGGUUCAGAUCCACUCUAAUGGCCUUGUUUUAACUCUAAAAGACACACCUCCCGGACCUGCCACUUUCUGAUAUAAUUGGAGCUAUGACUUCAACAUGAAUUCCAG